rnacentral:rRNA from 1 species
UACGUAGGCAGCGAGCGUUGUUCGGAGUUACUGGGCGUAAAGGGUGUGUAGGCGGCUCUCUAAGUUUGGUGUGAAAUCUCCCGGCUCAACCGGGAGGGUGCGCCGAAAACUGGAGGGCUAGAGUGCGGGAAGGGAGAGUAGAAUUCCUGGUGUAGCGGUGAAAUGCGUAGAUAUCAGGAGGAAUACCGGUGGUGUAGACGGCUCUCUGGACCGCGACUGACGCUGAGACACGAAAGCGUGGGUAGCAAACAGG